rnacentral:rRNA from 1 species
GCGGACGGGUGAGGAAUACAUCGGAAUUUGCCCUGUCGUGGGGGAUAACGUAGGGAAACUUACGCUAAUACCGCAUACGACCUAACGGUGAAAGCGGGGGAUCGCAAGACCUCGCGCGGUUGGAUAAGCCGAUGUCAGAUUAGCUAGUUGGCGGGGUGAGAGCCCACCAAGGCGACGAUCUGUAGCUGGUCUGAGAGGAUGAUCAGCCACACUGGGACUGAGACACGGCCCAGACUCCUACGGGAGGCAGCAGUGGGGAAUAUUGGACAAUGGGGGCAACCCUGAUCCAGCAAUGCCGCGUGUGUGAAGAAGGCCUUCGGGUUGUAAAGCACUUUUAUCAGGAGCGAAACACGUAAGGUUAAUAACCUUGCGGACUGACGGUACCUGAGGAAUAAGCACCGGCUAACUUCGUGCCAGCAGCCGCGGUAAUACGAAGGGUGCAAGCGUUACUCGGAAUUACUGGGCGUAAAGCGUGCGUAGGUGGUUUCUUAAGUCUGCUGUGAAAGCCCCGGGCUCAACCUGGGAAUUGCAGUGGA